UACAUGCAAAAAUGUGUUGCCGUGCUUGGUCACUGCAUUGACGUCACAAUUAGAUUGCAGUAACAGCUGUGUCACAGUAUACAACCUCACAGGCCAGAUAUAGGGGAGGUCUACUACAAAAAUCUUGAUUUUUCUUUUUCAAAGAGAAG